GUCUAAAAAAACAAACCCUUCUCGUGUUCAACGUUUAAAUCUCCGUCUUAUAUAAAAUUUUUUUAUAAUUAAUAUUUUUAUUAUUGUUAGAUGAUAAAACAAGAUUAAUACUUUAUGCGUGACUUGUCUUUUCAAUUUUUUCAUACUUUUUUUUAAAUAAGAUGAAAAGUUAAAUGUUGGCUACGAAAAUUUAGG
rnacentral:pre_miRNA from 1 species